UAUUUUGGAAGUUUCAGUUUGUCAUGUUGUCACCCUGACACAUUGGAGACGGCUUUCCAACAAAAUCCUAGAAUGAUGGCAAGUUCCUCGACGGGAGAUUUUUGCCAAGUUUGCCUCACUGCUGCACCCGAUCUUCCGUUUGAUGUGACCAUAAUGUUGGCCGAAUUCAAGUGUUCGAUAGCACAACUGGUGGCAACGGUUUGCAGAAUCAAGAUUCCAGAGAAUGGAAACGCAGCGAAAAUUAUAUGUGGCAUAUGUCUGAAGGAUUUGUCUAACACUUUACGAGAAAGUCUUGAAACUAAUGAGCAAACUGAACAUGAAAGCCCGUCCAAGGUUGAAUGCAGAGAAGAGCCAACCAUCAAAUGUGAACCUGGGUUGCGUCCAACGAAUUCCAGAGACAACUUGAAGGUUCAUAAUGUUGACAGAGACCACACCGGACAUCAGAGAGUAUUCGAGGCACAUAACAUGAAUAGGAAGCUACAGAGGAGGAAAAAAUGUUUCAAAUGUCAGAAGGUGCUUCCCAAUAAGUAUAUGCUGAUCGAACAUUUACGCAGUCAUCAACGUCGAA